rnacentral:tRNA from 3 species
GCAGAUGUAGUUCAAUGGUAGAACGAGACCUUGCCAAGGUUUAGACGCGAGUUCGAUUCUCGUCAUCUGCUCCA